rnacentral:rRNA from 1 species
CAUGGAGGGUGAGAAUCCCGUUCGGUUGAUCAUAGUGCUCUACCAAACCCUUUCCAAGAAUCCAGUUGGUUGGGAUUGCAGCUUAAAAAGGGAGGGAAAUUUCUCCUAAAGGUAAAUAUUCGGGAGAAAACGAUAACGAACAAAUACCCGGAGGGAAAGAAGAAAAAAAAUUUGAAAAAAAAAUUAAAUAAUACCUGAAAAUGGUGAAAGGGAAACGAAUUGAGCCCAUCCCACCCGCCGGGAAACCACCCUUUGGGCGUGAAUCCGGGGAAUGGGAAGAAUUAAACCCCCUCCUGGCCGGCUAAUCCGGGACUUUGGGUGGACUUGCCCCUGGGGGUGGGUAACCUCCAUUUUGAUCCUCUUAUAAUGGGUGGAGGAAUGUAACUUCUAUCUCGCAUUGAGGAGUGAUAUCCCCCUCCAGAUAUGAUGAUCACGAUUUAGGAGAGCACCGCAGACACCUCUCGGCUACCCGCCUGAGCUCUGAUCGCUGCUCUCGGGCGCCAAGCGUGCUUACAGUUAUCUCAGACGAUAGGCACUAUGGUAUAACGCGUUAAAUUCUCUUAGGAUGUGGACACAUAGUG